rnacentral:rRNA from 1 species
UUUGACCUCAAAUCAGGUAGGACUACCCGCUGGAACUUAAGCAUAUCAAUAAGC